CCUACGGGAGGCAGCAGUGAGGAAUAUUGGUCAAUGGACGAGAGUCUGAACCAGCCAAGUAGCGUGAAGGAUGACUGCCCUAUGGGUUGUAAACUUCUUUUAUAUGGGAAUAAAAUGUUCCACGUGUGGGAUUUUGUAUGUACCAUAUGAAUAAGGAUCGGCUAACUCCGUGCCAGCAGCCGCGGUAAUACGGAGGAUCCGAGCGUUAUCCGGAGUUUUUGGGUUUAAAGGGAGCGUAGGUGGAUUGUUAAGUCAGUUGUGAAAGUUUGCGGCUCAACCGGAAAAGUGCAGUUGAAACUGGCAGUCUUGAGUACAGUAGAGGUGGGCGGAAUUCGUGGUGUAGCGGUGAAAUGCAUAGAUAUCACGAAGAACUCCGAUUGCGAAGGCAGCUCACUGGACUGCAACUGACACUGAGGCACGAAAGUGUGGGUAUCAAACAGGAUUAGAUACCCGAGUAGUC
rnacentral:rRNA from 1 species